rnacentral:tRNA from 1 species
CCCCUUGUGGUGUAGUUGGUUUAUCACGUCUGACUGUAAAUCAGAAGGUCACCGGCUCGACUCCGGUCGAGGGGA